rnacentral:rRNA from 1 species
ACUGCUCAGUAACACGUGGAUAACCUGCCCAAGGGUCCGGGAUAACCCCGGGAAACUGGGGAUAAUACCGGAUGGAUCACUAGUGCUGGAAUGCUUGGUGGUCGAAAGGUAACGCCUUUGGAUGGGUCUGCGGCGGAUUAGGUUGACGCCGGUGUAACGUACCGGCGUGCCUGUAAUCCGUACGGGUUGUGGGAGCAAGAGCCCGGAGAUGGAUUCUGAGACACGAAUCCAGGCCCUACGGGGCGCAGCAGGCGCGAAAACUCUACAAUGCAGGCAACUGCGAUAGGGGGACAUCGAGUGGCAUCCACCUUGGGUGCCUGUCCAACCGUCUAAAAAACGGUUGUUAGCAAGGGCCGGGUAAGACCGGUGCCAGCCGCCGCGGUAAUACCGGCGGCUCGAGUGGUGGCCGAUAUUAUUGAGUCUAAAGGGUCCGUAGCCGGCUUUGCAAGUCCCCUGGGAAAUCCAGCGGCUUAACCGUUGGGCUUUCAUGGGAUACUACAUUGCUUGGGACUGGGAGAGGUAGGAGGUACUCGGGGGGUAGGGGUGAAAUCCUGUAAUCCUCCGGGGACCACCGGUGGCGAAGGCGUCCUACCAGAACAGGUCCGACGGUGAGGGACGAAAGCUAGGGGCACGAACCGGAUUAGAUACCCGGGUAGUCCUAGCCGUAAACGAUGCCCGCUAGGUGUCACGACGGUCGUGAAUCGUCGUGUGCCGUAGGGAAGCCGCGAAGCGGGCCACUUGGGAAGUACGGCCGCAAGGCUGAAACUUAAAGGAAUUGGCGGGGGAGCAC